UAUAUAUAUAUAUAUAUAUCUGGUUGUAGGUUUGGUAAUUCUCGCUUUUAGUUUUUUGGUAUAGAAAUCCAGACAAGUUGUGGUCUCCUAUUGUUAAAGCGAAGAAAGAGGGUCAAGAUCUGGUGGUAUGCUUAUCCCCGUUCCUUUCAUUAGCAUAUUCUGUGCUCGUUCUUAAUAUAGUUGAAACCGCUAUAUUUAGAUCUUUGCGUAUUCAAAUCAAUGUAGCCAACAGGAACUUUGCUUGAACAUUGUUAAAUAUCCAGGUGUGAAGUAACAGUUUUUUCAGUUUCCAACUUAAGUUCCAAGUUUAAACUCUAAUUUAAGCUAAAAUUAUACUUAUUUAGGCCUUGUUUGGUUGACAAAACAAAUCAUGGGAAGUGCAAAUUCCUAUGAAGUAGAAGUAUAUGAAGGUGUUUGGUUGGCAAAAUCAUGGGAAUUUGCACUUCCUAUGAAGUUCUACUUCCUCCAAAAUGGUGUGAACCGUUCAUUUGCAGAUGCUUCUUUUUAUAAUUGUUGUCAGUCUCCUCCUUUUUGAGUUUCUGCUAUAUUGAGCUGGAAUCCUUUGUGCAGGACGCUUAUGCCUCAUAUGUAAAAGACUAUUUUUUUUUGAAGCUUUUGUACACCAGCUCGAAUUUGAUCCUCAUUUGUUUUUGUCCAGAAAAUCCAUAUCCAUGCCCUUGAAAUGGUUCUGCCACUCGUUUGUGUCAUUUGUUUAUGAUCCUUUGCUCCAUCGCCGUUUCUCCAUACCAUAGUAUUUAGGGAACUUGGAAGUAUAGUUUACCAUUCAAUGAGUAGGAAAUGAUAUAGUGCUUUUUAUUCUUUCUUUAUGUGUUUUAACAUAUUAUAGGUCCUAAUGGAAACUGUCUCAUUGAGAAGAACAAAAGAGCAACUUUUGAUUGGCUUGCCAUCAAAAUCAAUAUGUCAUGUAGAACUUUUGCAUGAAGAACGUGAACUAUAUGAUCGCAUGGAAGAAGAAGCCAAACAGGUCGUGAGGAAGUACAUCAAUGAUAGGAAUGCUACACGUAAUGAAUUUCUGUUUUGUAAUGCCAAAUGCCUCUUAACUACUGUUUUCCGCUCAUUUUUUUCUUGUUAGGGUGAGUUGUUUUGAGUGUGCCUUCACUUUACGUUGUUGCGCUGUUCUGACUUUGUCAAGGCUUUCUGUUUGUUUUUUUGAAAGGGCCUUCAUUGCUUUCUUUAGAUAACAAUAAUGGAGGGAAAGGUAGGGGAGGGAAGGAGAGUGUAGGGGAAACAAAGCAGGGGGAGGGAGAGAUAACUUGUAUCGAUGGCAACUUGUUUGGUUGUUAAAGAAGGUAAAGAAAAUGAAUCCGUCCAACUUCCUUCACUUCCCUUGCUUUCCCUUGGUUUGGGUGUCUUAUUGUUGUGUGUCUCUGAUGGUGGGCUAUCUGCGGAAUGUUGCUUGAUUGCUUGCUAUUUAUUUCGGUAAUUAAUAGUAAAUACACAGUGGAGAACUAAAAAAGUUCCUUUUUUGCUUGCACAGUACUGUACCUAGCUCUCUAGGUUUCUCUAGGUGAGUUAUAUGCUAUCAUUACAAGCUAAUUUUCCAAGUGAUAUUGGUGGGCAGGCUAGGGACCCACUUGCUCCAGCCAGGAUCCCACUGCAAACAUAUUAGAGCUGCUUCAGAGAAAGGUCUGCAGCUUUAAUUUUGGCUUCACCUAUGUUUGUUAGCAUGGGGAUCCUUUAUGAAGUUGUUACUUGUUAGUUGUUACUGAUAGUUACGUAUAUCGUUACCUCUGACGGUAUCAUGUCUCUUUCGAUUGACUAUUCUUGUGUGCUAGCAGUAAAAGGAUAACCGGAUUUGACAUGGCCCCACCAACUACAAUGAUUGUUGCGGCUCCUACCAUUGGAGGUCUGACUAUUAUCCUUUACUCUGAACAUAGAUUUGUGUUUCUAACUACUGCUUUGUUAUCUGCUUUAGUGUGGAAAGUUCAUAUCAAGUUACAUGCUUUCAUUGGGUAAGCUUAUUCAUCCACUUCUUAUUUGCCUUACUGAGCCUGAUGGAGUGUUUGCAGAUGGAUGGUAGUUUAUAUUUAUUUUUCUCGUUAUAUUUAUUCAGUCAAAUAACUCUGGAACUGAAAGUUUUUCAUUUGUUCUUGUCUUUGGGUGUUUGUUUCUUGUUUGUGUCUUAUGUUUGUUUUAAGAAGGUCAUGUUGGGCUACUUGCCCCACUGUGUUGACAUUGGGUGUGAGCUAACUUCUAUAGCUUUAAUGUACAAGGAAGAACGAUUGCCCAGGAUGGGUUUUGUUCAUCUAGAUCUUUAACUGGCCCCUAAUGCGUGUUUCUGUAGUAUUUCUAAUUAAUCGUCAUAUUGUUCACCCGUUGUAUCCCUUGGUAUUAUUUUACCUUUUUUCUGUUGAUAAUUUUUGGCUUAACAUGUUCUACCAGUCUGUCGCUACCUUUUUCAGCCAUUUUGCCGCAAUUGGAGGUAAUACUGCAGGCCCGGGCGGUGCUGUUGUCGAUGUAUAUAUUAACCAUCGCUUUUGUGGAGAUGAGAUCUGUAUAGGAAGCUAGUAAUGCUAUGGCGCUAGAUGGGGACUCCGGUUAAGGGGAGGAGACCAAGUGACUACAAUGCAUCCCUUGCUGCAGCACUGGGUCCAAGUCAGCCUAAUCCGAACCUGAACCUAGGUGUUGUUGGCUUGACACCAGGUUCAGCAGGUGGUCUGUAGGGUCCUGACAGGAUCUUUGUCGGCAGGCCUCCUUAUUACUUUACCGAGGCUCAAGUGCAGAGAGUUGUUGGAGUACUUUGGAGCACUUUCGGGUUUCGAUCUUGUCAAAGACAGAAACUGGAAAUUCAAAAGGCUAUGCAUUUUGUGUGUACCAAGAUCUGUCUAUUACAGAUAUUGUUUGUCAAGCACAUAAUGAAAGAUAAAACUGAUGUAUUUAAUCUACUAAAAGACUAAAUAACAAGUGCGAAAGUUAUGAAAUCUAA